UCUCGAUUGGUCUAGUGGUGAGGAUACCUGCUUGUCAUUCUACAAUUCGAUCCCAUCUGUUAGGUGGUGUUGUUUUAGUAUAGAAACAAAUCGCAGGUGGCCGGGGUUCGAUUCCCCGAUCGAGAG